UACGUAGGGGGCAAGCGUUGUCCGGAUUUAUUGGGCGUAAAGAGCGUGUAGGCGGUCAGGUAGGUCCGUUGUGAAAACUCGAGGCUCAACCUCGAGACGCCGAUGGAAACCAUCUGACUAGAGUCCGGAAGAGGAGAGUGGAAUUCCUGGUGUAGCGGUGAAAUGCGCAGAUAUCAGGAAGAACACCCGUGGCUAAGGCGGCUCUCUAGUACGGUACUGACGCUGAGACGCGAAAGCGUGGGGAGCGAACCGG
rnacentral:rRNA from 1 species